ensembl:lncRNA
UGAAAGCCUGCCACCGCCCCGUUGACGCCACUAGGGAAGCGAGAGGACCUGGAACCCGGAUAGAGCGGGCGCCAUGUUAAGUGUGGGGGCCCAUGAUGAUUCUGAGUUUUACUCAUAGCUCCCGCCAGCCCUGCUGGCCUGUGGGGAAACUUUUCUAACUUUUGCAGGAAAGAACAAAUAUAUCUUUGAGCUAAUUUUUAAUUGAGCAGUUUCGUGUCACUUCCGCCCAAAACAAAAAUGUCCUCCGGUAGCCUCAAACCAGCGCUGUAGUAAAGGGGGCAGAGGAAAAGGAAGACGGCGAUUGGUGAGAACUCGGUGAGCGACGGCCCGCAUGCCGCACCCUCAUUGGCUGCGCUGCGUGAGCCCAAAUCGUGUGCCUCCAGAGCUGCAGCUGUCUGUCGGAGACCUUGAUUGGCGAGUGGAGCCCUUCGGUGAAAAGUGAAACUGGGGAUAUUAACUGAUUAUUUCUAGUGGUAAUGGCGCCUGCUUUAUUGGCUGUAACUAUCCGGCCAUAGGGGAGCACAGCUGUAAUACUAGCUACCUGGAGGGAGAGAAAGGACGAUCGCGAGUUCGAAGCCAGCCUGGGCGACUUCGAGUUUGCCUCCAAUUUUUAAAGAAGAGCUCAGCGACGAGGCGCUUGCCUAGCAUGCGCGAGGCUCUUCGGUUCAACCUCAGUAGCAGGAAAAAUAAUAAAAAGAAGAGAAAGAGACGGACCAUAGGCUCACACUUGUAAUUUCAGCCCUCUAGAAACUGAGGCAGAAGGAUUGCAGAUUCGACCCCAGCCUGGGCAAUUCAGAGGAGUAGACACGAUUCAUUCAACUGUGUCCAGAUGUGGCCGGGCCCCUGGGUGGACUCUCCUUAUCUUCCCAGCCCGGUGGUCCAGACUCUGCACUUCAUUUCCCCAAGAGAGAACAACUAAAGCAGAAGGAGAAGCUAAAAAGUUAACUCGGAACAGC